GGCAUCAGCGGCCUACUAGCUGAGAGAAAGAAGCAAUCUGCUGUGUCCCUGCAUGACAUGACUCUGCUGAAUGAAUUAAGAGGUCACGGUGACUUUUGGAGCAAUGGUCACUGCUGGAGUUGGAGGAGGUUUGGGUUUCUGCAUGAAAACGUGCAGUUAUGUGCAGAAAUGAGCAAGAGGGAGCAGCACAAGAUCUACCACGAAGAUCUCCCAGGCUACUGGUCUACACGAGGAGGAGAGGAAGGCCACACACGAGGGAGGCUGCAAAGGAGAAAGACUGGGAUGCCCAACAAAGGAAAUUUCAGCUGCCAAGAGUCCCAUCAGGCACGUUAUAACUUGUGAUGAUUUGGGAUUCAGUAACACCUACAGAACAGAGAAAAGACAAUAGAGGUUCCCAGACUCAGAAAGGAAUGUCGGCAGAAGGGGAUUUUUUUUUUUUUCAUGAGAUUGGUACAUCAGCAAGAAAAGUUUUCUUCCUGGGGAGAAAUAUAAGCAAACGUCAAGACAAGAGGAGUCAGCGUGACCCGUGCAAUGCUCUCCUUUCCUUGACAUGCUUGAGAAUCAGAUAUCUCACAGUAAUUGCACUUAGCAUGGAUGCCAUGGGGGAGGGAAUAUGGAAAGCCAGAAGGUAA
rnacentral:lncRNA from 1 species